rnacentral:tRNA from 1 species
GCGGGAUGGAGCAGUUGGUAGCUCGCUUGGCUCAUAACCAAGAGGUCGCCGGUUCGGGUCCGGCUCUCCGCCA